UCACAUGUUUCCCUCACUUACUUUUUGACUUUGCUUUUAACGGUUUUUUGUCUUUGUUUUACUGCCAUCAACUUUACAGUUAAUUAUUUUAAUUAGUUUCAAUCUGUUAAUUUAAUCAAAUUUACUUUUAAUUUAAUUGUGUUUACGUUAAUGACAUUGGUCAUUAGUUGGCUGGUUUGUAUUGAAAUGGAGGAUUGAACUAGUUGCUUGCUGAUUUUUUUCUUCAUUUGGUUAACAUGGUGGAAAUUUUGAUGGAGCAAGUUGAUUACAAUUGGCCAUUAAGCAGAUUUGGUAAUCUUCAGACAAGGGAUGGAAAGAGAAGAAAAAAGGAACAGAGGAGGAAAAAUUGAUUCUUCAGUUUUUCAUCUACUUGACGCUUUUUCUUACCUUAACAUUGUUGGUUAUUCCUGAAUGACAGAUAAUUGGUUGACUUUUGCUUUUUUCCUUCUCGUUGUCGUCGUCAUCAUCCCAACUCACUAUAAAUCACUUAAGUUAACCUUAAAGUGAUGAAUGCCUCAGGGAGUCAAUAAAGUCUUGCUGCUGGUGAAUGGGAAAAAAAGUUGAACUCUGUUCUUUGCGUUCAUCCCUACGAGAAACCAAUGAAACUAUUUACUCCUUUGAUGGUGAACAAUAAUUGAAAACCAAAUGUUAUUACAAUUUAACUGCUUCCUUCGCCAGUCAAUGAUCAUUUUUCACAACUUUACCAAGUCAAGUCAACUCUCAACCGUUUACAUUUGAACAAUUAUUUGGCCAUUAUUCACGAUUUAAUAUAAAACAAGAUUGAAUCCUGUUCUUUUUCUCUACAAUUUACGUGUUGCCUUUUCCAUUGUCACCACUAACAUUAUUAUUGUUAUUCAAAAGGCAUUUACCUAUUUAAUGGUGGCUAAAGGUGGUGAAAACAAAAUGCAACUGUUAAGGUGAAAUUAAUGGCUUAACAAGUAGUUAAUUGUAAACGAAAAGCUGUUUAACAUGGAAAAGAAGGAGUAUGGGAAAAACAUAAUUGAGUAAAAGUGAUAAUUCGCUGAUGAUUUCAUUCAAUUUAUGAUGAAAAUUUCCACCAGAAAAAAAGCUAAUCUUCAAAUGAUUCCAUCAUCAUCCUUUUCAUAAUACUCAUCAUCGCUAUCAUCAUAAUCAUCUUUAUCAUCGUCAUCUCUAUUAACUUCGUUGCUGUUUGUUGUAAAAGGGAAUUACAAUGAUUCAAUUACUUUUUUGGCAAAUUGUUGAAACGUUAAACUCAUUCCAGCUUUUUGGCUAAACCCAAGUGUAGCCAGUUAAUCAAUGGGAUACAACUCAACCUCUAAAUGGCCAGCAAAGGUCUUGAAUCAUCUCUUCGUAAAUUAUCAUGAUGAGCUGAUUCAACUUGCCUGUAUAAAGUACUGAAAAUUGAAUAAUUUUACUUAAGGAGACAAAUUCUCGAGCUUGAAAUUUUCUCAAAGAUUCAUCGUUUAUAAGCUGAGCGUUCAGGACAGAAAUACCAAUUUCCAAAAGCCUAUUUCUUGACGCCAAAAGCCUAUUGCCAAUUGGAGGAAAAAAUGUGUUUAUGUUAAUCCAAAUCAUGAAUUCCACGGAGCAGAUGCUCGUUUCAAUUUUAACCACGAAUCAGAAAGUUUAUGUCACUCGAAACUCGAAAAAUUUUCUCCAUCGAAUGGCGUCAUUAGCUAAAUAGUCGUUGAUUCGUUAAACAAAUUGAAUGAUUCUUGCAUGUUUGCUUUUCAAUAAUCAAUGCUAAACCAACUUCAAAUAUUAGCAAUUAGAUUUCAAGCUCAAUUUCCUAGUGCUGUGCAUCAGACUGUGCUAAUUGCUGUUUCGUGAUCUACCAUCAUCGCUUCGUUGACAAAAAUUGCUUGAAACUACUUGAAUCUUUUCAUGACUUGCAGAGUUGGUUAUUUACUUUUUCGCGAAAUUGAUCAAAUACAUAAUCAAAGUGUUGAUGAUUCCAGUUAUACUUGUUCUAUUGAUUAUGAGCAGUCAUCCAACAUGAAACUAUCUUCAAAGUGCAACAUUUAACCUUUGAUCAUUUGCUCCAAAACUUUAAGAUGACUCUAAUAGUGAACUCUGUUGAAGAGCCAUGAUAUUGAAAUAAGAUUACAGACAGGAAUGAAUCUGAUUGAGCAAAAUGUUAAUAAAGUUAAUGAGCACCAAGAGAA